AUUGAACGCUGGCGGCAGGCCUAACACAUGCAAGUCGAGCGGCAGCGGGAAAGUAGCUUGCUACUUUUGCCGGCGAGCGGCGGACGGGUGAGUAAUGCCUGGGAAAUUGCCCAGUCGAGCGGGAUAACAGUUGGAAACGACUGCUAAUACCGCAUACGCCCUACGGGGGAAAGCAGGGGACCUUCGGGCCUUGCGCGAUUGGAUAUGCCCAGGUGGGAUUAGCUAGUUGGUGAGGUAAUGGCUCACCAAGGCGACGAUCCCUAGCUGGUCUGGGAGGAUGAUCAGCCACACUGGAACUGAGACACGGUCCAGACUCCUACGGGAGGCAGCAGUGGGGAAUAUUGCACAAUGGGGGAAACCCUGAUGCAGCCAUGCCGCGUGUGUGAAGAAGGCCUUCGGGUUGUAAAGCACUUUCAGCGUGGAGGAAAGGUAGAUGCCUAAUACGUAUCAACUGUGACGUUACUCGCAGAAGAAGCACCGGCUAACUCCGUGCCAGCCGCCGCAGUCAUAC
rnacentral:rRNA from 1 species